rnacentral:rRNA from 1 species
AGAGUUUGAUCCUGGCUCAGGACGAACGCUGGCGGCAGGCCUAACACAUGCAAGUCGAACGAGAAGCCAUCCUUCGGGAUGGUGGGCAGUGGCGAACGGGUGAGUAACGCGUGGGAACCUGCCCUUCGGUACGGGACAACCGCGGGAAACUGCGGCUAAUACCGUAUAUUCCCCAUGGGGGAAAGAUUUAUCGCCGAGGGAUGGGCCCGCGUCCGAUUAGCUAGUUGGUGAGGUAAAAGCUCACCAAGGCGACGAUCGGUAGCUGGUCUGAGAGGAUGAUCAGCCACACUGGGACUGAGAUACGGCCCAGACUCCUACGGGAGGCAGCAGUGGGGAAUAUUGGACAAUGGGGGCAACCCUGAUCCAGCCAUGCCGCGUGAAUGAAGAAGGCCCUAGGGUUGUAAAGCUCUUUCAGCGAGGAAGAUAAUGACGGUACUCGCAAAAGAAGCCCCGGCUAACUCCGUGCCAGCAGCCGCGGUAAUACGGAGGGGGCUAGCGUUGUUCGGAAUUACUGGGCGUAAAGCGCGCGUAGGCGGUCUGCUAAGUUGGGCGUGAAAGCCCGGGGCUCAACCCCGGAACUGCGUUCAAUACUGGUAGACUAGAUGCCGGGAGAUGAGAGCGGAAUUCCCAGUGUAGAGGUGAAAUUCGUAGAUAUUGGGAAGAACACCAGUGGCGAAGGGCGGCUCUCUGGCCCGGUUUCUGACGCUGAGGCGCGAAAGCGUGGGGAGCGAACAGGAUUAGAUACCCUGGUAGUCCACGCCGUAAACGAUGAGUGCUAGACGUCGGGAGGCUUGCCUUUUCGGUGUCGCAGCUAACGCAUUAAGCACUCCGCCUUGGGGAGUACGGCCGCAUGUUAAAACUCAAGGGAUUGACGGGGGCCGGCACAGCGUGGAGCAUGUGGUUUUCGACGCAUCCGAGAACCUUACCAGCCCUUGACACGGUCGGUCGCGGAUUCCAGAGAUGGAAUUCUUCAGUUCGGCUGGACCUAGUGCAGGUGCUGCAUGGCUGUCGUCAGCUCGUGUCGUGAGAUGUUGGGUUAAGUCCCGCAACGAGCGCAACCCUCAUCUUCAGUUGCCAGCGGUUCGGCCGGGCACUCUGAAGAAACUGCCGGUGAUAAGCCGGAGGAAGGUGGGGAUGACGUCAAGUCCUCAUGGCCCUUACGGGCUGGGCUACACACGUGCUACAAUGGCGGUGACAAUGGGUCGCAAGAGCGCAAGCUGGAGCUAAUCCCCAAAAACCGUCUCAGUUCGGAUUGUUCUCUGCAACUCGAGAGCAUGAAGUUGGAAUCGCUAGUAAUCGCGGAUCAGCAUGCCGCGGUGAAUACGUUCCCGGGCCUUGUACACACCGCCCGUCACACCAUGGGAGUUGGCUUUACCCGAAGCCGGUGCGCUAACCGCAAGGAGGCAGCCGACCACGGUAAGGUCAGCGACUGGGGUGAAGUCGUAACAAGGUAACC